UACUCCCUCUCCCUCUCGUUACAUAAAUCCACUCGCUUCCCCUCUCCUCUAAUCUCCGUCUUCUUUUCUUCCAUCCUCUCCUCCUUCGCCAAUCCAUUCUGAUCCAGAAAUCGUAUCGCAAGGAUAUUCGAAGCUAAAUUCGAUCGCGUUGUCGAUGCUGUUCUUUCGGAGACGUUUGAUCCACUGAAUCGAAGUAGAACAGUCGGGAAGCAGCAAAGCUCGUCCGGGGAGAUAAGGAUCAAGGAUGAGGUUGUUGAACGUGGCGACUUGCAAUUUGAACCAAUGGGCUAUGGAUUUUGACACCAAUCUGCGGAAUAUCAAGGAAUCGAUCUUCCGGGCAAAGGAGGCAGGAGCUGCAAUUAGAAUGGGUCCGGAGCUUGAGAUUACUGGUUAUGGUUGUGAAGAUCAUUUUCUCGAGCAAGAUACUGUGAUGCAUUCUUGGGAAUGUUUGAAGGAUAUCUUGUCAGGUGAUUGGACCGAGGACAUAUUAUGCAGCAUAGGAAUGCCUAUUAUUCAUGAAAGUGUGCGGUACAACUGCCAGGUUUUCUGUUUGAACCGAAGGAUAGUUAUGAUCCGCCCAAAGAUGUGCCUUGCAAAUGAUGGAAACUACAGGGAAUUCAGAUGGUUCUCAGCCUGGACAUUUAAAGACAAGCUUAUUGAUUUCCAACUCCCAAUUGACAUUGCUGAGGCUAUAUCACAAAACUCCGUACCCUUUGGUUAUGGAUAUAUUCAGCUUCUGGAUGCAUCUGUUGCUGCUGAAACAUGUGAAGAGCUCUUUACUGCUGACGCUCCUCGCAUUGCACUAGCAUUAAAUGGUGUUGAGGUCUUUAUGAAUGCAAGUGGAAGCCACCACCAGCUAAGAAAGCUUAAUCUACGGCUUGAUGCAAUAAAAAAUGCAACCCGUUUCUGUGGAGGUGUUUACAUGUACAGUAAUCACCAGGGAUGUGAUGGUGGCCGCCUUUACUAUGAUGGGUGUUCUUGCAUUGCUGUGAAUGGAGAUGUGGUAGCUCAAGGAUCUCAAUUUUCCUUGAAAGAUGUUGAAGUUUUGACUGCCCAAGUAGAUCUAGAUGCGGUUUCUAGUUAUCGAGGAUCGAUUAGUAGUCUUAGAGAGCAAGCAAGCCACAAAGAAAAGGUUCCAUCAGUGAAGGCACCCUAUAAACUUUGUCAAUCAUUUAAGCUUGGAAUGUUUCCUACUAGUCCAGUGGAGGUUAUGUAUCACUGUCCUGAAGAAGAGAUUGCAUUUGGACCUAGUUGUUGGCUAUGGGAUUAUGUACGAAGAAGUGGAGCAUCUGGGUUUUUGCUUCCUCUUUCUGGUGGCGCAGAUAGUUCUUCUGUUGCAGCAAUUAUUGGCUGCAUGUGCCAACUCGUAAUAAAAGAUAUUGAAAAUGGAGAUGAACAAGUAAAAGCUGAUGCACUACGGAUUGGCCAAUACAAAAAUGGAGAGUUCCCAACUGACAGCAAAGAAUUUGCCAGGCGAAUAUUUUACACCGUUUAUAUGGGAACUGAAAAUAGUUCUGAGGAUACUAGAUCACGUGCUAAGAAGCUAGCGGAGGAGAUUGGUUCAUGGCACUUAGAUGUGCCUAUAGAUAGUGUUGUUUCUGCUUUGCUUUCUUUAUUCCAAACACUAACAGGGAAGCGCCCACGUUACAAGGUUGAUGGAGGAUCAAAUGCAGAGAAUCUAGGGUUACAAAACAUUCAAGCUCGAGUUAGAAUGGUGCUAGCCUUUAUGCUAGCAUCUCUUAUGCCAUGGGUUCACAAUAAGUCUGGAUUUUACCUUGUAUUAGGCAGCUCUAAUGUGGAUGAAGGACUACGCGGUUACUUAACCAAGUAUGAUUGCAGUUCAGCAGAUAUAAAUCCCAUCGGAAGUGUGAGUAAGCAGGAUCUUCGGUCUUUUCUACGCUGGGCUGCAAUUCAUCUCAAGUAUCCUUCUUUGGCAGAAGUUGAAGCAGCUCCUCCAACUGCAGAGCUGGAACCAAUACGUUCAAACUAUAAUCAGUUGGAUGAAGUGGACAUGGGGAUGACAUAUGAGGAAUUGUCAAUUUAUGGAAGGCUGAGGAAGAUUUUCCGUUGUGGUCCUGUGUCGAUGUUUCAGAAUCUCUGUCACAAGUGGUGUGGGAGAUUAGCACCAUCAGAGGUAGCAGAUAAAGUGAAACACUUCUUCAAAUAUUAUUCAAUCAAUCGGCACAAGAUGACUGUCUUGACGCCUUCAUAUCAUGCUGAGAGCUAUUCACCAGAAGACAACAGAUUCGAUCUUCGCCAGUUCCUAUAUAACUCAAGAUGGCCUUAUCAAUUCCGCAAGAUUGAUGAACUUGUCCAAGAGAUGGAUGGAGAUUACAAAGCUGGUAAUCUUCCAGAACUCCUGAGACAGGAAGAUUCAGAUAUUGUCUCAGGCCAGGGGAGUGGCAUGGGAGUAGUGGCUGCAGGAUCUGGCAAUCCAAAUGCUGGCCGUUAGUAAUGAAUAAGAUAGGAAUGAAUGCAGCUGGCUAGCAGAUAUUUCCUGACAAGAACAAAGUUUUGGGCUGCACAAGUGGAAAAGUAUUUUAAUAGCUAGGAUUUCAGCCUGAAUGUCUGACGAGCUUUAUGCCUGAUGCCAUACGUACUUAUUCAAAGGACGUUAUGUCAAGCAUUUUUUGGGGGGUUUACUUGUGUUGUGCAAGAUCUGUUGAGCCAUGGGAAAGUUGAGUCGCAUGGGAAAUGGUGAUCAUUUACAAAAUUAGUUCACUUGCCAUGAUUUCAAAUUGUAUGUGACAUAGGAUGAAGACGUGCAGGCGCGUUACAUCGUCAGAUUUCCAACAAGCAGGAUGAGACUGAUUGGAGAUGUGAUUAUAUUGAUGAAAGAUUCCACUCCAUAUCUACAUAAUAAACCUAUUAUAUUUGCAUAAUUGUUGGCAAUACUUCGGUCAAGUCAUUCUAUACAUAACUAAAUAAUAAUAAUUGUUUUAGAAGUGGUACUAAUUCUUUAUA